rnacentral:rRNA from 1 species
UACGGAGGGUGCAAGCGUUAUCCGGAUUCACUGGGUUUAAAGGGUGCGUAGGUGGGAAUGUAAGUCAGUGGUGAAAUCUCCGUGCUUAACAUGGAACUGCCAUUGAUACUAUGUUUCUUGAAUUUUUCUGGAGGUCAGCGGAAUAUGUCAUGUAGCGGUGAAAUGCUUAGAUAUGACAUAGAACACCAAUUGCGAAGGCAGCUGACUACAGGGAUAUUGACACUGAGGCACGAAAGCGUGGGAUCAAACAGG